AAAGUCGUAACAAGGUCUCCGUUGGUGAACCAGCGGAGGGAUCAUUACCGAGUUGCAAAACUCCCAACCCAACUGUCUACCUAUCCGUACAUCGUCUUGCUUCGGCGGGCGGCCCCAGGGCGGGGCUGCUGCCGCGCUUCGGCGCGGCGCCCGCCGGACGGACAACCAAAUCUUCUGUCACAGUAGUACUCUGAGCCUAAAGACAAAUAGUCAAAACUUUCAACAACGGAUCUCUUGGUUCUG
rnacentral:misc_RNA from 1 species